UGGACAGCCAAGCUGGUGCUGGUGGCGGCUCUCGUGGCGGCGGUCUCUGCCCAGUUCGGGGGGACGGACCCGGGCGGUCUGCUCAACGACCCGGCUGCGCUCACCGAGAUCAUACAGUGCCUGCUGGCCAACUCGGACUCAGGUUGCUCGCUACAGGGGCGUCUGCUCAAGAGCGUGCUGCCGCAGCUGCUGCAGUCCAACUGCGGCCAGUGCAGCGAGGCGCAGCGCCAGGACGUGGCCAACGUGCUCCGCCACCUGGUCAACGACAGGCCGGAGGAGUGGCAGCGGCUCGCCGCCAAGUACGACCCGGCGGGCACCCUGCGCACCCAGCACGGGGACGAGUGGCGCGCACGCGGCGUCAACAUGUAGCCGCGACCCUAACACGUUGAGGUUUCAUAGAAAAGCACCAUAGAAAUCACCAAUGAACUUACGGUCAACGCUCACAACACUGGAGUUUACCAAGUUGAAUCACACCAGCACCUCCGAAGCAUCUGACGUAAAGGAACGUUACUUCCUUCAAAGAAUGUAUGCUGCUGCCACUAUCUGGUACUCCCAAAAUUGCACCUUCGCGUCAGGUACCUGAUGUAGCGACUGACAUGAAACUAGUGACAAUUACAUUAAAAUACGUCUAUGGACGCCAAAGAAA